AGAGAGAGAGAGAGAGCGCAAACUGACAGUUGCAAAACGGUUAAGAGUGCACGCUCUUCAAUCGGUUAAAAUUUCAACCGUUUGGCUUGCCGCUACGAGCAGAAAAAAGCUUUGGCCAACGCGGCGGUUGACUGGUUUAGUUACUAUUAUUAAACAAAGUGACGGCAACGUUGAUGCAACGUUUUGGCUACGCGCUCGCGUUCGCAACUCGAAUCGAUCGUUGAUCGGGGCACGCGCUAUGUCAGUGUGCGUGCAUGUAUGUGUGUGUGUGUUUGUGUGUGCUGUGCGUGCCUUGUGCAUGUGAAGUGUCUUUAUAUUCUGCGCGCUAUCUUCUUCGGUCGACGACUGUGCGGUUAUUCGGCUAUUCGGCUGUUGUUGUCGCAGCUGGUGUAAUGUGAACAACGACAAGAACAACAACAACAACAGCUGGAACGGACUUUCCGUAUUGCAAAUGAAAA